AACGAACGCUGGCGGCGUGCCUAACACAUGCAAGUCGUGCGAGAAAGUUCCUUCGGGAGCGAGUAAAGCGGCGCACGGGUGAGUAACACGUAGGUAACCUGCCCCCCAGUCUGGAACAACUAGAGGAAACUCUAGCUAAUGCCGGAUGAGACCACGAUCCCUUCGAGGGUUGCGGCCAAAGAUGGCCUCUACUUGUAAGCUAUCGCUGAGGGAUGGGCCUGCGGGCCAUUAGCUUGUUGGUGAGGUAACGGCUCACCAAGGCUGUGAUGGCUAGCUGGUCUGAGAGGAUGACCAGCCACACUGGGACUGAGACACGGCCCAGACUCCUACGGGAGGCAGCAGUGGGGAAUAUUGCGGCAAUGGGCGAAAGCCUGACGCAGCGACGCCGCGUGGGUGAUGAAGGCCUGGUC
rnacentral:rRNA from 1 species